rnacentral:rRNA from 1 species
GACGAACGCUGGCGGCGUGCUUAACACAUGCAAGUCGAACGGAAAGGCCCUGCUUUUGUGGGGUGCUCGAGUGGCGAACGGGUGAGUAACACGUGAGUAACCUGCCCUUGACUUUGGGAUAACUUCAGGAAACUGGGGCUAAUACCGGAUAGGAGCUCCUGCUGCAUGGUGGGGGUUGGAAAGUUUCGGCGGUUGGGGAUGGACUCGCGGCUUAUCAGCUUGUUGGUGGGGUAGUGGCUUACCAAGGCUUUGACGGGUAGCCGGCCUGAGAGGGUGACCGGCCACAUUGGGACUGAGAUACGGCCCAGACUCCUACGGGAGGCAGCAGUGGGGACUAUUGCACAAUGGGCGGAAGCCUGAUGCAGCAACGCCGCGUGCGGGAUGACGGCCUUCGGGUUGUAAACCGCUUUCGCCUGUGACGAAGCGUGAGUGACGGUAAUGGGUAAAGAAGCGCCGGCUAACUACGU